GGACUGGUAGCUCAGUGGUCAGAGCGAGCGGUUCCGGAUCGCUAGGGCGUGGGUUCGAAUCCCACUCAGUCUA
rnacentral:tRNA from 1 species